UAGGGAAUCUUCCGCAAUGGGCGAAAGCUUGACGGAGCAACGCCGCGUGAGUGAUGAAGGUCUUCGGAUCGUAAAACUCUGUUAUUAGGGAAGAACAAAUGUGUAAGUAACUAUGCACGUCUUGACGGUACCUAAUCAGAAAGCCACGGCUAACUACGUGCCAGCAGCCGCGGUAAUACGUAGGUGGCAAGCGUUAUCCGGAAUUAUUGGGCGUAAAGCGCGCGUAGGCGGUUUUUUAAGUCUGAUGUGAAAGCCCACGGCUCAACCGUGGAGGGUCAUUGGAAACUGGAAAACUUGAGUGCAGAAGAGGAAAGUGGAAUUCCAUGUGUAGCGGUGAAAUGCGCAGAGAUAUGGAGAAACACCAGUGGCGUAGGCGACUUUCUGGUCUGUAACUGACGCUGAUGUGCGAAAGCGUGGGGAUCAAACAGG
rnacentral:rRNA from 1 species